AGUUUUAACUAAAGAAAGCGAGAUUGAGAUUUUGAGCGCAAAAAUGCAAAACAAAAAAAUAAACAUAUAAAUAUAUGUAUAUAUAUACAAGGAGACCGAAAGUGCAAUAUAACGCCUCACAGUUCUCAACUUGGUGGCUACAGCCCCAGCUAUUUUGAUGCUUUUAACUACGAGGUGGUGUCCACUCACUAAUUAGGAGAAUGUCAGUAAGCAGGAGAAAUAUGUGUUGUUAAUACAGAAAUAAUUUAGAACUAAUAAAUAUUUUAAAUGGUGAAAGAGCAAAACAUUUAAAAUAUACAUACAUAAAGUCACACGAAAAGUUAAAAGUAUUUACAAAAGCAAUCCACAAACGUCUGAACGCCACACUUUAGCAUUUCCUUAACUUCUAUGCGCCACAGUUUAUUGAGUACACAAAUCGGCUGCGAAAUGUGUUGGAGAAACUUGUACCAAAAUAUGCGAAAGUGUGUAUGGAGGAGGCGGACAAUAAAGCCGUACGCUGGCACAAUUAGCUUUAACGCAAUGGUACAAGAUGAAGAUAUAUAGUAUAAUAUUAUAUAUAAAUGCAAAAAGCAGCCAAGUGUGGCGAUAACUCUAUUGGCAGCAGAUCGCAAUUUUUGUUUGAACAGCAAAUUAACGAAACUAUGUGAAACAGCUAAUCAAAGCGAAAAUUGAAAUUAAUAUCAAACAUUCCAGUAUUGAUGGCUGGUAUUUAAUACUUGGAAUAUCUGCGGCGACGGAUAUGUUUAUUGAGUGUGUACUGAGGCGGAACUAGAAAUGAUAUGAACAUAAAUCAAACUGUAUCCCUAUAAUAAAGAGCAGCAGCAGGAAAGAAGAGAGCGCAUAAAAUACAGAUUUUCACACAAAUACAUAUGUACAUACAUAGAUAUGCAGCUGCAAUGGUGCCGAGAGUGAUUAAAAGAAUGAAGGUUGCAGCGCAAAACUGCACGACAGAAAUAGGUUAGUGUUAUUAGUGGGUGUUGCGUUGGUGUAGUAUAAAUAAGGUUAGCAGCAGAGUUGCCAUUAGGCAAAGUGUUAGAAAGAUUGUUAUAGCAUUAUUUUCCAAACUACACCAAAAUAAUUUGUUAAAACAUUUUAUGAACUGUGAAUAUGACAAAUAAUAAUUAAAUACAAAAAAAACAUACAAAAUAAUUAUAAUUAAGGCAGGUGCUGUGGUGUAUGACUUCAUUUGAUAAAAUAAGGCGCGCUAAUUGCUUAUAUAUGCAAAUUGAUGUUAUCGAUUUUUGAACUGUUAAAGUAUACCGUAGUUAUACACUAAAUGCGUAAUUGCAUUCAUAUGAAAAUUUUGUGGCAACCCUACCGAGCACUGUUACAGCAAAGAGUGGGAGAGCAAACUAUGAGCGCAUAAAAUUUCAUAUCCGUAAUGACUUAUCAAAACUAGUGUGCAAAUAUGUAUGCAUGUAUAUUUGGGAGGCAUUCUAUCGCUAUUUUUUAUUUUUUAUUUUGCUACAUUUAACCACUGCGAUGACAAGUUGGAAUUGAGUACUCAGUCCUUAAUGUGCUCAACUACUAUACAUAUCCCAUGGCGACACAGCGCGAAAAAGCAGCUGAUGAAAAUUGUAACGAAAUGAAACCACGCCGACACCGCUUGAUACGACGAAUUCAAACCGAACCCACACAUUCAUUUGGCAAUAGCAAGCAGCGCUGCAUCAACUCCUACACACACACACACACACAUGUACCUACAUUCAUACACAUUCACAUACUCGCAAGUGUGUGCACUAUCAACACUUCCACUUCCAAGACCGCAAAGCCCAACCCGGCGCAGUGGGAAUUAACGCGAUAUAGUUUGAAACAAAUUAAAACAACGCUUGACUAAGUAAUCGCGCAAAGAAAGGGGUGUGAGAUGAGAACAAAUGCGUGCUAGACUGCUGCACCUAUUUCUAUGUUUUUGUUAAUUUUUCCACCUGAUUAUAACUGUGCUGCGGCACAUGCGGCUCACCGCUGUGUCAAAAAACAGCUGUGGCGACAAAGCUCUCUUAUAACAUGAAUGUGCGUGACAUGGACUCACUGAAUACAACUAAACUACCGUUGGCAACGAAGCGGAACCAAUAUUAACACCGACCGGGCGAACAGCCAGCCACCAGCCAAUUUGCGGAUAAGGACAAGCGUGAAUGCAUUUGGCGUUUGCGCGUAGGAAAUUGGUUUUUGUGAUUUUAUUUUAAUUACAACUAAAUGGCAAAGAAAAUAAACAAAAAUAAAAUAAAAGCAAGAAAUGCCGUCGCGUACAGAGAAGGAAAAAGAAAAAUAUACAUUAUGAGAAUUAUAAUUGAAAAUUGCAUUGGUCAGCGGAUGUACAUAACCGCAAGACCACAGCAAAGGGUGUGAGUCACCCACACAACUAACUUCCCUUGCGUAUAUGCACAUAUACUGGUGAUGGAUACAGAUACAAAUUGGAGGCAUAGUUGAAUAGAUCUAACUAAAUGAGAGUACAGCAACUAGAGAUGUCCGCUUGAUGGCUUCCAAUAUUCAUGUUAUACAUUUCAGUAUGUAAUAUAGUGAAUGUCACCAAAAACGCAACCAGCAUGGCGUAUAUUUAUUGUGUGAGCUGUUGUUAUUCUUAUUGUUGCAUUAUAAAAAAAAAAUUUAGGCAAUGCUUGGCUCAAGGUCGACCAGGGUGCACUGAUUGAAAUUCAUCACUGACCCUUCACAACACGCGCACAAAAAAUGCCCGCCAUGCACAACGCAACAACAACAAUAGCAGCAGACACAGAGAUCAGCAAAAGCAAGAUUUGUCACUCGCUUACACGUUGGCUGCUUUCCUGUGCGGUUCACACGGUGGAAUGACAAUGAGUUAACAACACCCUAGCUACCCUAACAAAACGAAAAAAAACACCAACACCAACUGACUUCAGGUUAAAUGCCGCGUUUACAAGUGUUCGUGUAUAUAUGUAUGUAUAUGUGUUGUAUUUGUGGAGGUCUUUAAUUGAAGUGGUUGGAUUGAAUUUGUUUUCGAGCGCAGUAACCAGCCAACACAUGUGUUGUUUAUGUGUUUAUGGCGAAAAAAUCUUUCAAGAACAAAAAAAAGAAAAACGAACAAAUUAUAGUCAUUGCGCAACGACUCCCUCGAGAAAAAGUGAAUGCACCAGUAUUGCUAUAUAAAGAUAUUAAAAUAAGACAAAUUAAAAAUUUAAGUAAGCUUUUUUGU